ACACAACACAAGAGUCACGAAAGAGGUAACACAUUUGAAAAUAAGUAGCUCGUGAUCGAAAGAAUAUUGUAAUGGGAGUCUUUGGUUGUAUCAGAGGGUC
rnacentral:precursor_RNA from 1 species